rnacentral:rRNA from 1 species
UUAAAAUCUGGCAGUCUCUGGCUGUCCGAGUUGUAAUCUAGAGAAGUGUUAUCCGCGCUGGACCGUGUACAAGUCUCCUGGAAUGGAGCGUCAUAGAGGGUGAGAAUCCCGUCUUUGACACGGACUACCAGGGCUUUGUGAUAUGCUCUCAAAGAGUCGAGUUGUUUGGGAAUGCAGCUCAAAAUGGGUGGUAAAUUCCAUCUAAAGCUAAAUAUUGGCGAGAGACCGAUAGCGAACAAGUACCGUGAGGGAAAGAUGAAAAGAACUUUGGAAAGAGAGUUAAACAGUACGUGAAAUUGCUGAAAGGGAAACGCUUGAAGUCAGUCGCGUUGUCUGGAAAUCAACCGUGAAUUUCUUGGUGUACUUUCCAGUUAACGGGUCAGCAUCAAUUUUGACUGUUGGAAAAAGGUCAGAGGAAUGUGGCAUCUUCGGAUGUGUUAUAGCCUCUAAUUGUAUACAACAGUUGGGAUUGAGGAACUCAGCACGCCGCAAGGCCGGGUUUUUAACCACGUUCGUGCUUAGGAUGCUGGCAUAAUGGCUUUAAUCGACCCGUCUUGAAACACGGACCAAGGAGUCUAACAUGCCUGCGAGUGUUUGGGUGGAAAACCCGAGCGCGUAAUGAAAGUGAAAGUUGAGAUCCCUGUCGUGGGGUGCAUCGACGCCCGGACUUGACGUUUUCUGACGGUCCCGCGGUAGAGCAUGUAUGUUGGGACCCGAAAGAUGGUGAACUAUGCCUGAAUAGGGUGAAGCCAGAGGAAACUCUGGUGGAGGCUCGUAGCGAUUCUGACGUGCAAAUCGAUCGUCAAAUUUGGGUAUAGGGGCGAAAGACUAAUCGAACCAUCUAGUAGCUGGUCCUGCA